rnacentral:tRNA from 1 species
GCCUGGGUGGCUCAGUCGGUUGAGCAUCCGACUUCGGCUCAGAUCAUGAUCUCACAGUCUGUGAGUUCGAGCCCCACAUCGGGCU